AACGAACGCUGGCGGCAUGCCUAACACAUGCAAGUCGAACGAAGCCUUCGGGCUUAGUGGCGCACGGGUGCGUAACGCGUGGGAAUCUGCCCUCAGGUACGGAAUAACUCAGGGAAACUUGAGCUAAUACCGUAUAAUGACUUCGGUCCAAAGAUUUAUCGCCUGAGGAUGAGCCCGCGUCGGAUUAGCUAGUUGGUGAGGUAAAAGCUCACCAAGGCGACGAUCCGUAGCUGGUCUGAGAGGAUGAUCAGCCACACUGGGACUGAGACACGGCCCAGACUCCUACGGGAGGCAGCAGUGGGGAAUAUUGGACAAUGGGCGAAAGCCUGAUCCAGCCAUGCCGCGUGAGUGAUGAAGGCCUUAGGGUUGUAAAGCUCUUUCAGUGGGGAAGAUAAUGACGGUACCCACAGAAGAAGCCCCGGCUAACUUCGUGCCAGCAGCCGCAGUAAG
rnacentral:rRNA from 1 species